CUACGGGCCGCUGCAGUGGGGAAUAUUGGACAAUGGGCGCAAGCCUGAUCCAGCAAUGCCGCGUGGGUGAAGAAGGCCUUCGGGUUGUAAAGCCCUUUUGUACGGGAAGAAAACCCCUCCGAUAAUACCGGAUGGGAAUGACGGUACCGUAAGAAUAAGCACCGGCGAACUUCGUGCCAGCAGCCGCGGUAAUACGAAGGGUGCAAGCGUUAAUCGGAAUUACUGGGCGUAAAGCGUGCGUAGGCGGUUUCUUAAGUCCGUUGUGAAAGCCCUGGGCUCAACCUGGGAAUUGCAGUGGAUACUGGGAGGCUAGAGUCAGGUAGAGGGUGGUGGAAUUCCCGGUGUAGCGGUGAAAUGCGUAGAGAUCGGGAGGAACAUCCGUGGCGAAGGCGGCCACCUGGACCAUGACUGACGCUGAGGCACGAAAGCGUGGGGAGCAAACAGGAUUAGAUACCCGAGUAGUC
rnacentral:rRNA from 1 species